rnacentral:rRNA from 1 species
CAGCCGCCGCGGUAAUACGGAGGGUGCAAGCGUUAAUCGGAAUUACUGGGCGUAAAGCGCACGCAGGCGGUCUGACAAGUCAGAUGUGAAAUCCCCGGGCUUAACCUGGGAACUGCAUUUGAAACUGUCAGGCUGGAGUCUUGUAGAGGGGGGUGGAAUUCCAGGUGUAGCGGUGAAAUGCGUAGAGAUCUGGAGGAAUACCGGUGGCGAAGGCGGCCCCCUGGACAAAGACUGACGCUCAGGUGCGAAAGCGUGGGGAGCAAACAGGAUUAGAUACCCCGGUAGUCCCGUCUCUUAUACA